UACGUAGGUGGCAAGCGUUGUCCGGAAUUAUUGGGCGUAAAGCGCGUGCAGGCGGUCCCUUAAGUCUGAUGUGAAAGCCCACGGCUCAACCGUGGAGGGUCAUUGGAAACUGGGGGACUUGAGUACAGAAGAGAAGAGUGGAAUUCCACGUGUAGCGGUGAAAUGCGUAGAGAUGUGGAGGAACACCAGUGGCGAAGGCGACUCUUUGGUCUGUAACUGACGCUGAGGCGCGAAAGCGUGGGGAGCAAACAGG
rnacentral:rRNA from 1 species